UACGAGGGGGGCAAGCGUUGUUCGGAAUUAUUGGGCGUAAAGGGUGCGUAGGCGGUGCGGUAAGUCUGUUGUGAAAUCUCCGGGCUCAACUCGGAGUCUGCAUCAGAAACUGCCGUGCUGGAGUGUGGGAGAGGUGAGUGGAAUUCCCGGUGUAGCGGUGAAAUGCGUAGAGAUCGGGAGGAACACCAGUGGCGAAGGCGGCUACCUGGACCAGCACUGACACUGAGGCACGAAAGCGUGGGGAGCAAACAGG
rnacentral:rRNA from 1 species